rnacentral:rRNA from 1 species
GUGGGGAAUAUUGCGCAAUGGGGGAAACCCUGACGCAGCGACGCCGCGUGAGCGAAGAAGGCCUUAGGGUUGUAAAGCUCUGUUUUAAGGGACGAAUGUCGUGGGGAGUAAUAUGCUCUGCGAAUGACGGUACCUUAAGAGGAAGCCCCGGCUAACUACGUGCCAGCAGCCACGGUAAGACGUAGGGGGCGAGCGUUGUCCGGAAUUACUGGGCGUAAAGAGCACGUAGGCGGGAACUUAAGUCAGGUGUGAAAGACCGGGGCUCAACUCCGGGGUUGCACUUGAAACUGGGUUACUUGAGGGCAGGAGAGGAAAGCAGAAUUCCUGGUGUAGCGGUGAAAUGCGUAGAAAUCAGGAGGAAUACCAGUGGCGAAGGCGGCUUUCUGGACUGACCCUGACGCUGAGGUGCGAAAGCGUGGGUAGCAAACAGGAUUAGAUACCCCGGUAGUCC